GCUGAUGUGGCUUAGAGGUAAAGCACCUCCUUGGUAAGGAGGAGAUCGUGGGUUCGAGUCCCAUCAUCAGCU
rnacentral:tRNA from 1 species